CUUUCCUAACAAAAAUGACAGGAAACAUAAAACAUAUUAUUGCAGAACAAGUGUGUUAUUUAUGAAAGCGGUGUGUUUGUGUGUUUAGGGGCUGUAGAUAUAAUUAUUUUGUAAUUGUAAUCAGAUUAUGAAUGAACAGUAUGAAAUUCAUCAACAUUGAAAUAUAUUUUAUUAUCAAAAUAAUAUAUAACUGUUACAAAACGUAGUGCAACUGUAGAAGCUUGCUCUGUUGUCUCACUGAAAGAAUAACUUUUACCACGUUUUUACAGACAAUAUUGAGAGAUAAAUAGUAGCAGUUCUCACUAUGUGUUAAAUAUCUUUGCCUUCAAUACAUUAAAUUAGAAAGCUGACAAAAUCAUAUUGCUUGUUAA